rnacentral:rRNA from 1 species
UACGUAGGGUGCGAGCGUUGUCCGGAAUUAUUGGGCGUAAAGAGCUCGUAGGCGGCCUGUCGCGUCGGUUGUGAAAGCCCCGGGGGCUUAACCCCGGGUCUGCAGUCGAUACGGGCAGGCUAGAGUUCGGUAGGGGAGAUCGGAAUUCCUGGUGUAGCGGUGAAAUGCGCAGAUAUCAGGAGGAACACCGGUGGCGAAGGCGGAUCUCUGGGCCGAUACUGACGCUGAGGAGCGAAAGCGUGGGGAGCGAACAGG